rnacentral:rRNA from 1 species
GUUUGAUCAUGGCUCAGGACGAACGCUGGCGGCGUGCUUAACACAUGCAAGUCGAACGGAGAACUUAUUUCGGUAAGUUCUUAGUGGCGAACGGGUGAGUAACGCGUGGGCAACCUGCCCUCCAGUUGGGGACAACAUUCCGAAAGGGAUGCUAAUACCGAAUGUGCUCCCUCCUCCGCAUGGAGGAGGGAGGAAAGAUGGCCUCUGCUUGCAAGCUAUCGCUGGAAGAUGGGCCCGCGUCUGAUUAGCUAGUUGGUGGGGUAACGGCUCACCAAGGCGAUGAUCAGUAGCCGUUCUGAGAGGAUGAACGGCCACAUUGGGACUGAGACACGGCCCAAACUCCUACGGGAGGCAGCAGUGGGGAAUCUUCCGCAAUGGACGAAAGUCUGACGGAGCAACGCCGCGUGAGUGAUGAAGGUCUUCGGAUUGUAAAACUCUGUUGUUAGGGACGAAAGCACCGUGUUCGAACAGGUCAUGGUAUUGACGGUACCUAACGAGGAAGCCACGGCUAACUACGUGCCAGCAGCCGCGGUAAUACGUAGGUGGCAAGCGUUGUCCGGAAUUAUUGGGCGUAAAGAGCAUGUAGGCGGGCUUUUAAGUCUGACGUGAAAAUGCGGGGCUUAACCCCGUAUGGCGUUGGAUACUGGAAGUCUGAGUGCAG